GAUGAACGCUGGCGGCGUGCCUAAUACAUGCAAGUCGAGCGAACAGACGAGGAGCUUUCUCCUUUGACGUUAGCGGCGGACGUGUGAGUAACACUUGUAUAACCUACCUAUAAUACUGGGAUAACUUCGGGAAACCGGAUCUAAUACCGGAUAACAUUUUGAACCUCAUGGUUCAACAGUGAAAGACGGUCUUGCUUUCCCUUAUAGAUGGAUCCGCGCCGCAUUAGCUAGUUGGUAAGGUAACGGCUUACCAAGGCAACGAUGCGUAGCCGACCUGAGAGGGUGAUCGGCAACACGGGAACGGAGAAACGGAAAAGAAGCAUACGGGAGGAAGCAGUAGGGAAUAUUCCGCAAUGGGCGAAAGAAUGACGGAGCAAAGCCGCGUGAGUGAAGAAGGUCUUCGGAUCGUAAAACUCUGUUAUUAGGGAAGAACAAAUGUGUAAGUAAAUAUGCACGUAUUGACGGUAACUAAUCAGAAAGCCACGGCUAACUACGUG
rnacentral:rRNA from 1 species